rnacentral:rRNA from 1 species
GACGAACGCUGGCGGCGUGCCUAAUACAUGCAAGUCGAGCGGACGAAUCGAAAGCUUGCUUUUGAUUCGUUAGCGGCGGACGGGUGAGUAACACGUGGGCAACCUGCCCUGUAGACGGGGAUAACACCGAGAAAUCGGUGCUAAUACCGGAUAACACGAAAUGUCGCAUGACGUUUCGUUGAAAGACGGCGCAAGCUGCCGCUACAGGAUGGGCCCGCGGCGCAUUAGCUAGUUGGUGAGGUAACGGCUCACCAAGGCGACGAUACGUAGCCGACCUGAGAGGGUGAUCGGCCACGCUGGGACUGAGACACGGCCCAGACUCCUACGGGAGGCAGCAGUAGGGAAUCUUCCGCAAUGGACGAAAGUCUGACGGAGCAACGCCGCGUGAGCGAAGAAGGCCUUCGGGUCGUAAAGCUCUGUUGUUAGGGAAGAACAAGUAACGCAGUAACUGGCGUUACCGUGACGGUACCUAACGAGAAAGCCACGGCUAACUACGUG